rnacentral:lncRNA from 8 species
AUGCCCCAGACAGUGAGUAACCCCCCGGGCUUGUGCAUUAGUGCCAAAACCAUUCCAGAGAGAGAGACGAUAUAUUCAUGCACUGGCGCCACAGACCCUGUUCCAGAGAGGAAGGUGAUGUAUUCAGGCAAUGGUAUACUGGACCCUGCUCCAGACCGUAGGUACAGGCAGGCCUAUUCUUCCAGGUAUAGGUGGAAAUGGAGGAGGAAGUCAAAAAAAGAAACACAGCCGUUGCCGCCAGCCCCACCUCUGCCACCGUAUGAGGAAGAAAACUGGGAGGAGGAGAUGGGAAUCGUUGAGACAUAUGGAUUUGCUCCAUAUGGCCCAGAGGAUGUGGAUAGAGUGGCCCUACAGGGGUUGACCCUGAACCAGCCCCCCUGCCCUCCCCACCCCCAGACAGCAACCGACUACAGCCCUGCCACGCACCACCAAGCCCCCAUCAAAUGGGUCUGCCACAUCAUCUGCAUCGUGAAGGAGCAGUUUGUCGACGCAGAGGUUUGAGGUCCGGUGUGUUCCGAUACACUUUUUAUUAGUUUACUCUUUAAUUGUGAGCUCUUAGGAAUGAUUUUAGUUGUUUUCUCAGGUGUUUUAAGUUCUGCUUGUCCCUUGGUUGGUUUAUUAAUGAAUUAGGAUGAUGUAUUUGUAGCCUUGUUGACAGUUGGGUCACGUGUUAAUAACACUUCAUGAUUUUUGUGAAUUUCAAUAGAUUUGUAGUCUAACUCUUAACUAAAAGAGAAAUCAUAAAAACUAUCUUAUUUUUUUGAAAUACUUUUGUUUUAAAAGCAAAUAACUGAUAGGCCCAUGUGUUCAACUGUCACUCUCCCUUUAAAAUCAAAUGUGUUAAAAUAGAGGGCCCAGUGCAAGAAUAAGAUGUUACCAGGUUUAUUACACUGAUAUGUUUGGAUUUAUUCUCAAAUGGAUUGGACUGAUUCUGAGCCCAUGGAGAGCAAGAGGUCAGGUCUCCAUGACUCCAGCACUCUGUAAUACACAACCCACUGGGCACAGAUGUCAAUUCGACAUUGGUUCAAUGUAAUUUCAUUGUAAUGGUGUGGAAACAACGUUGCUUCAAACAGUGUGCACCCAGUGAGAAUGAAAUUCAGCUUUUAAAUUCCAGGAUCUCUUUAACACGAAUAAACCAUGCAUUUUAACAACAACCCUCUACACUGACGCUUCAUUCCCACAGUUUUUGUUGUAGAAGUAGUUCAGAAGAGAAAAUGGUAGCAUUAGAUGCCCACCUGGUGGCAGUGUUGGUUAAAUAUUACAUUCACCUCAGUUGCACUGAAUUCUUUCCAUGCAGCUCUGGGUUUAUAUAGUGAGUUCAUUCAGUUCACAGGCUCCGUUCAAAUACUCAAAAAAUGCAUCCUUCCUUCCUACCUUUCUUGAAAGUAAUUACAGAUCUGAAUUUGUGAAAACAAGAGGGAGCUAACCUUGCUCUGGGCCCGGUUUCCCUCAACCAUUUUAGCCUUAAGUUCAUCGUUAAAACCUUCGUAGGAGCAUUGUUAAAUCUCUGAGCUGUUCACCAGAACUCUUGGUAUUAACGUUGCACUUGAAAACGCUCGUAAUCUAAAAGCCUGCCUCAGAUCACUCAUAAAACAGUUAAAUGUAUCGUUAAUGUGUACCCCAAACUGUUCGGACGCUACAGGCCUAAGUUAGCUGAUCGGUUCUACCGACUUCAGACGAGUCCCAAUACGCUUGUGGGGGUCGUCGAGCAAAACGAAGACCACCCAUCGUGUUCAUGAGACUCAUCUUUCCACAGAGGGGUCAUAAUAGUUUGUAGGCCAAACCGUUCAGACGGGAUUUUCGGGAUGUCUCCAUGGCCUGACACACGGCUCUAGCUCUGCCACCUUUCACCGCAGAUGCGGAAGUGCGACAUCGGCGGAUGUGGUGGAUUGAGACGCAUCCAAUGCACAUAUCCCUAGUUUAAACUGGGGAUGUUUUUAUUAUGCUAAUUAGACUGACAUGCGCGAUGAUGUGACAAAUCUGUGAUUUCAUUUUUUUUUUGCCUAUUUAAGCCGCCUCAAUAUUGCAGCUGUACUUGGUAAUAUCUCUCUAGGAGCCAUUGUCAAUAUUGUGAAAAAACAUUAUAGUUAAGGUAGAUUUUAAUGGAGAAAGCUGAGCCGAGAGUAGGGCUUCCUUUCUUUCGAUCCGAUCAGGAACAAUACAUGCGCCAACGAUGCACUUAGAGACCGCUCUCUCUGUGUGUUGUUUUGUGAAAUGCAUGUUACAUCUUCAGCCGUUGUAGGAAAGAAGCAUCGUUAAAACACUUCGAAGCCUAAAUUCCAUUGUGAUCAGGGAAACCGGGUCCAGACCUAUCCAAUUUCUAAUAAAUCUGUCUUUACCUCAAGGAAACAAGGAAGGAAGUAGAAGUACAAGGCCCACACAUUCACUUGCCAUUUAACAUGACUUUCCCUAGUAUCAUUCACAAAGACAGUUGUUUUGAUGAGCUAAGAAUGAAAUGAUUUAUUGUAACUAAUCUG